rnacentral:pre_miRNA from 1 species
AGUGGGAUAGAUGGGUCAAAUGGUAGUUCUAUUCCCAAUUUUCUGAGGAAUCUCCAUAUUGCUUUCCAUAGUGGUUGCUCCAAUUUGCAGUCCCACCAGCAAU